GGGAUAUGAUGAGUGGUAAUUUACUUGCGCAAAUUUUGUGCGUGAUGAGCACCCUACCCAGCCUGUUACGACAACGGGAGUGCUCCAAUUCUUACCCUUCUGAUCCC